AGACAGAUCUAGCAAGUCAUAAUAAUAAUAAUAUAUGCCAUUUAGCAGACGCUUUUAUCCAAAGCGACUUACAGUCAUGUGUGCAUACAUUCUACGUAUGGGUGGUCCCGGGAAUCGAACCCACUACCCUGGCGUUACAAGCGCCAUGCUCUACCAACUGAGCUACAGAAGGACCACAUAAUAUAAAAGAGACAGUAGAUCUAGCUGGUCUGUCAUAAUAUAAAAGAGACAGUAGAUCUAGCUGGUCUGUCAUAAUAUAAAAGAGACAGUAGAUCUAGCAAGUCAUAAUAUAAAAGAGACAGUAGAUCUAGCAAGUCAUAAUAUAAAAGAGACAGUAGAUCUAGCAGGUCAUAAUAUAAAAGAGACAGUAGAUCUAGCAGGUCAUAAUAUAAAAGAGACAGUAGAUCUAGCAGGUCAUAAUAUAAAAGAGACAGUAGAUCUAGCAGGUCAUAAUAUAAAAGAGACAGUAGAUCUAGCAGGUCAUAAUAUAAAAGAGACAGUAGAUCUAGCAGGUCAUAAUAUAAAAGAGACAGUAGAUCUAGCAGGUCAUAAUAUAAAAGAGACAGUAGAUCUAGCAGGUCAUAAUAUAAAAGAGACAGUAGAUCUAGCAGGUCAUAAUAUAAAAGAGACAGUAGAUCUAGCAGGUCAUAAUAUAAAAGAGACAGUAGAUCUAGCAGGUCAUAAUAUAAAAGAGACAGUAGAUCUAGCAGGUCAUAAUAUAAAAGAGACAGUAGAUCUAGCAGGUCAUAAUAAUGUAUUCAACCUUAUGUUCCCUGUACUCUCUCUAUAUAUAUCUGUUUAUUAUACCUGUUGAUACAGGGCUCAUAUGUGAAACUAUUCUAACUUAACAUUUUCUUUCACAGUGACUCCGAAUGGGAGUCUUAUCCGGUGUCCUGUGUUAAUUUAAAUAUGCUCUCUCUAAUUCUCUCUCUCGGAGGACCUGAGCCCUAGGACCAUGCGUCAGGACUACCUGGCAUGAUGACUCCUUGCUGUCCCCAGUCCACUUGGCCUUGCCGCUGUUCCAGUUUCAACUGUUCUGCCUGCGGCUAUGGAACCCUAAACGGUUCAUUUUUACUCUUGAGGUGCUGUCCUGUUGCACCUUCUACAACCACUGUGAUCUCCACCCGGCACAGCCAGAAGAGAGCCUGGCCACCCCUCAUAGCCUGGUUCCUCUCUAGGUUUCUUCCUAGGUUUUUGCCUUUCUAGGGAGUUUUUCCUAGCCACUGUGCUUCUACACCUGCAUUGCUUGCUAUUUGGGGUUUUAGGCUGGGUCUAUAUAAAUAGAUUUGAUUUGAUAGAGGACUGAGGGUCUUCCAAAUAUUGAAAGUGUGUAAAUAGUUACCCAUGUUAUUUUGUAAAUGUUUUUUAAUCAAUAAUUAUUUCCCCCCCAUUUUUUCCCCUUGAUUUUAUUUGGGGGGGGUGUGUUAGAAUACCAUUUUGGUAUUUUGUAAAUAGUUAUUUGUUUCAAAAUAUAUACUUUCACCAAAUUUGGCCACUUGGGCACAUUUGGGCUACUUGUGUGGGACACCUGGGUGACUCAUUUUGCAAGUUAUCAUUCUGAAACUUUGCACAAGUACUGUUGCCCUCUUAUAUUUUUCACUGAAAUUGUCCCCAUCAUCUUAUCUGAAUGUUUGUUUUAUCUUGUUCAUUUCAAAGAUGAAAUAAAAAUAAAAAACAUGUUUUUUUUCAUUGUUUUAUCUAAACCAGAUCUAUUGUGUUAUAUUCUCCUACAUUCAAUUCACAUUUCCACAAACUUCAGAGUGUUUUCUUUCAAAUGGUACCAAGAAUAUGCAAAUCCUUGGUUCUGUGUCUGAGCUACAGGCUGUUAGAUUUGGGUAUGUCUUCAGGCGGAAAUUGCACAAAGUAGGGGGGAGCUCUAAGAGUUAACAAACACUAAGUUGACUGUGCCUUUAACUUCUUGGAUAUAGGGGGCGAUCUUUUAAUUUAUGGAUAAAAAACGUUCCCAUUUUAAACAAGAUAUUUUGUCACGAAAAGAUGCUCGACUAUGCAUAUAAUUGACAGCUUUGGAAAGAAAAAACUCUGACGUUUCCAAAACUGCAAAGAUAUUGUCUGUGAGUGCCACAGAACUAAUGCUACAGGCGAAACCAAGAUGAAACUUCAAACAGGAAGUGAGCCAGAUUUUUGAGGCGCUGUGUUCCAAUGUCUACUUAUAUGGCUGUGAAUGCGCCAGGAUCGAGCCUAC